GUCUGAGAGCCUCAAUAAAUUGACGAGAAUCGACGGCGAAUGUCUCGAGGCGUUGAAGACGCGCGCGCUCAGCGUCCUCAGGAGCUUUGACUGGAGUUUUCUCAAGUCUCGGAAACAGAAGGAAGUCUGACCACUAUAACUUCCCACGCUUGAGCACAUUAAAGAACGAUUCGCUUUAAAGGGUAGCUCUCUCUCUCUUUCCCAGCGCGUUCUGCGAGCCUCGCGUGGGGUUAAAUAGGCACCGGACGCUCAGUCGCCUCAGGCUGUGUCGACUGAGGGAAAGAAACGCGGCGACACAAGCGCCCUCAGAUUGCGUGAUCCAGGACUUGGGCAGUGCGGGACUUGCGCGCACUCUGGUUGCGGGAGCGAUGCGCGCGCUGCGGGCUCCGGUUCUAGUAAUGGGGCUCGUCAUGUUAAUCUGCACUACUGCACAAAGCGACGCCAGCGUGAACAAGGUCGAGAAAACGUUCAGACGGAUAAUGGACAUCAUGAGACUGGCGGAAAACAGCGUGGACGACGCGAGCGCGCUAAAGAAAGAGAGUGCGCCAAAGGACACUCAUCGUCUCAAAACGGAAACUGGGGAAAUAAUUUUAAAAAUCUUUCCCAGAGACCUCAGAAAGAAAGAGAAGGUUAUCAGAGUCUUAACAGGUCCUCUUUAUUUCAGUCCAAAAUGCAGGAAGGACGUCUACAGGCUUUAUCAUAACACCAGAGACUGCACCAUCCCUGCGUACUACAAAAGGUGCGCGCGACUCUUGACGCGACUGGCAGGGAGUCCGAGAUGUCAAGAGGGUUAACUGUACCAGCAGGUUGAAGCCAAACCAGAGUGACCCAAGAAAAAAAAAACAGCAGUCAAAGUGCCUUUGGACAAGAGAAGAGAAUUUAAACCAACACACAACAAUCCACAUAAUCAGCACAUCUCGUCCAGAACACUGCUCUGCCUCUCUGGAGAAUAGAUGUGGGAAAGUAUUGACAGAGAAGUAAACGGACACGGAAUAAUGGGAUGCACUUGCCCAAGGACAGUCUGAUGGACUCAACAUGGAGCCAAUGUUAAAACACAGGACGACAGAGAAAGAAAACAGAAAACGCAUCUGGCAUAGUGCGUUCUGAACCUGUCUGCCAAAAAAGAAAACCAUUUUUCCAUCGUUUCAUCAUGAAAAAGGGAUAGCCAUGGUUUUGCAUUUCGAUAUCAGAUUAUCGAGACUCGUCACAGUCAUUGCUGAUGUUUCGCACGACAUGCCUCGAUGGGGUUACAAUUCAGAGCCACGAUGACAAAUUGAGUUGGUUCGCUGCAACGAGAGAGCUUUGCUUUUCGCGGUGCUAGAACUGAAAAUCAUUAAUUGCAUGAACGUUUCCUUUUGCUUCUGUUUGCCAGCAGACAGGUAGAUUUUUGCAGUAAAUCUGUGACCAAAAGCUUUUCGAUUUUGUGUGAGACUAUGAGUGUCUGACUGUGGAAUAUAUUCAAUAUAUUUUGAUAUGUAAAUGUUGUACAAAUGAGACUUAAAAAUCCCUAUAACAAACAUAUAAGUGUCUGACGUACGAUGGGAUGUGUAUAUUUAAAAGAAAAUAUAUUUAAAUAAAUUAUGAUUGUUUAAACACUGUGGUCUCCAAUGUUGUAAAAAUACACCAAAAAAUGUAAAGGUUAAUCUUCUGCAGCAUAAAACAGCCUCUAUCUAGUUUAACAGCUUAUCUUGGCAUCAGAAAAUAUAUAUUUUUAAGGGAGUUCAAGAUCUCUUAUCACUCAUGGUGGAUGCUUUGGAUGCUUCAGAGAUAUUGAAUUUUUUUGUAACCACACCAAAGAUAACAGUCAACUUCUGUUAAUAAAUACAUAUCUUAGUAAAGGGGAAAAAAUCUCCAGAGAGUUCCCAAAAGGAUGAAGAGGAUGAAUGAGAGAGGAAAGGACAAGUAAUCAGAACUGGCACAACCACAGUCAUUUUCAAAGAAAUGCGAGGUCAAGCUAUAAAUAUGCACUAAAAAUUUGCUAAAAACUGUC